CGCGUAGGUGGCUGGAAAAGCGUGCGGUGAAAGCCCGGGGCUCAACCCCGGGUCGGCCGUGCGAACUGUCUAGCUGGAGCAUGGUAGAGGCGGGUGGAAUUCCGGGUGUAGCGGUGGAAUGCGUAGAGAUCCGGAAGAACACCGGUGGCGAAGGCGGCCCGCUGGGCCAUGGCUGACACUGAGGCGCGACAGCGUGGGGAGCAAACA
rnacentral:rRNA from 1 species